rnacentral:misc_RNA from 1 species
GAUGAAGAACGUAGCGAAAUGCGAUAAGUAAUGUGAAUUGCAGAAUUCAGUGAAUCAUCGAAUCUUUGAACGCACAUUGCGCCCCCUGGUAUUCCGGGGGGCAUGCCUGUCCGAGCGUCAUUACAACCCUCAAGCUCAGCUUGGUGUUGGGCCCCGCCGCCCCGGCGGGCCCUAAAGUCAGUGGCGGUGCCGUCCGGCUCCGAGCGUAGUAAUUCUUCUCGCUCUGGAGGUCCGGUCGUGUGCUCGCCAGCAACCCCCAAUUUUUUUCAGGUUGACCUCGGAUCAGGUAGGGAUACCCGCUGAACUUAAGCAUAUCAAUAAGAGGAGGA